AGGAGGAACAACCCCAAUGGCUGUGGCAGCUCCAGAGCCCUGGGUUCAGCUCCCCCAUUAACUCCGGAGCUCUCAGUCUCCAGGGGCCUGGAUGCUGGGUGGGGGG
rnacentral:pre_miRNA from 1 species